rnacentral:rRNA from 1 species
CCCUUAGAUGUUCGGGGCCGCACGCGCGCUACACUGACCAGUGCAACAAGCAUCCGUCCUUGGCCGACAGGCCCGGGCAAUCUUUGAACGCUGGUCGUGAUGGGGAUAGACUUUUGCAAUUUUUGGUCUUCAACGAGGAAUUCCUAGUAAACGCAAGUCAUCAACUUGCAUUGAUUACGUCCCUGCCCUUUGUACACACCGCCCGUCGCACCUACCGAUUGAAUGGUCCGGUGAAGCCUCCGGAUUGGCGCGCACCUCGGUGCCGCCGAGAAGUUGGCUAAACCUUACCAUUUAGAGGAAGGUGAAGUCGUAACA